rnacentral:rRNA from 1 species
CAGCAGCCGCGGUAAAACGAAGGGUGCAAGCGUUACUCGGAAUUACUGGGCGUAAAGCGUGCGUAGGUGGUGGUUUAAGUCCGUUGUGAAAGCCCUGGGCUCAACCUGGGAAUUGCAGUGGAUACUGGGUCACUAGAGUGUGGUAGAGGAUAGUGGAAUUUCCGGUGUAGCAGUGAAAUGCGUAGAGAUCGGAAGGAACAUCUGUGGCGAAGGCGACUAUCUGGGCCAACACUGACACUGAGGCACGAAAGCGUGGGGAGCAAACAGGAUUAGAUACCCCAGUAGUCCCUGUCUCUUAUAC